CAGUAGCCGCGGUAAUACGAAGGGUGCAAGCGUUAAUCGGAAUUACUGGGCGUAAAGCGUGCGUAGGCGGUUUGUUAAGUCUGUUGUGAAAUCCCCGGGCUCAACCUGGGAAUGGCAGUGGAUACUGGCUCGCUAGAGUGUGUCAGAGGAUGGUGGAAUUCCCGGUGUAGCGGUGAAAUGCGUAGAGAUCGGGAGGAACAUCAGUGGCGAAGGCGGCCAUCUGGGACAACACUGACGCUGAGGCACGAAAGCGUGGGGAGCAAACAGGAUUAGAUACCCGCGUAGUCCCUGUCUCUUAUCC
rnacentral:rRNA from 1 species